UGCCCGGUAGCUCAGCGGUAGAGCAGGUGACUGUUAAUCACUUGGUCGCAGGUUCGAAUCCUGCCCGGGCAGCCA
rnacentral:tRNA from 1 species